rnacentral:misc_RNA from 1 species
GAUGAAGAACGCAGCGAAAUGCGAUAAGUAGUGUGAAUUGCAGAAUUCAGUGAAUCAUCGAAUCUUUGAACGCACAUUGCGCCCUUUGGUAUUCCAAAGGGCAUGCCUGUUCGAGCGUCAUUUGUACCCUCAAGCUUUGCUUGGUGUUGGGCGUCUUGUCUCUAGCUUUGCUGGAGACUCGCCUUAAAGUAAUUGGCAGCCGGCCUACUGGUUUCGGAGCGCAGCACAAGUCGCACUCUCUAACAGCAAAGGUCUAGCAUCCAUUAAGCCUUUUUUUCAACUUUUGACCUCGGAUCAGGUAGGGAUACCCGCUGAACUUAAGCAUAUCAAUAAGCGGAGGA